CAGCAGCCGCGGUAAUGCGUAGGUGGCAAGCGUCGUCCGGAUUUAUUGGGCGUAAAGCGAGCGCAGGCGGUCAAUUAAGUCUGAUGUGAAAGCCCCCGGCUCAACCGGGGAGGGUCAUUGGAAACUGGUUGACUUGAGUGCAGAAGAGGAGAGUGGAAUUCCAUGUGUAGCGGUGAAAUGCGUAGAUAUAUGGAGGAACACCAGUGGCGAAGGUGACUCUCUGGUCUGUAACUGACGCUGAGGCUCGAAAGCGUGGGUAGCAAACAGGAUUAGAUACCCGUGUAGUCCCUGUCUCUUAUAC
rnacentral:rRNA from 1 species